rnacentral:rRNA from 1 species
CCUACGGGUGGCAGCAGUGAGGAAUAUUGGUCAAUGGGCGGGAGCCUGAACCAGCCAAGUCGCGUGAGGGAAGACGGUCCAGUGGAUUGUAAACCUCUUUUGUCGGGGAGCAAAAGACGGCACGCGUGGCGGGCCGAGAGUACCCGAAGAAAAAGCAUCGGCUAACUCCGUGCCAGCAGCCGCGGUAAUACGGAGGAUGCGAGCGUUAUCCGGAUUUAUUGGGUUUAAAGGGUGCGCAGGCGGACGAUUAAGUCAGCGGUAAAAUCGGGAGGCUCAACCUCGUCGAGCCGUUUAAACUGGGAGUCUUGAGUGGGCGAGAAGUAUGCGGAAUGCGCGGUGUAGCGGUGAAAUGCAUAGAUAUCGCGCAGAACUCCGAUUGCGAAGGCAGCAUGCCGGCUCCACACUGACGCUGAUGCACGAAAGUGUGGGUAUCGAACAGGAUUAGAUACCCCAGUAGUC